GCCUUGCUCAGUGGUUAGAGCGUCAGCCUGAGCACUGAAGGGUCUCAGGUUCGAUUCCUGGUCAAGGGCA
rfam:Myotis lucifugus cont2.33310, whole genome shotgun sequence.